rnacentral:rRNA from 1 species
CACGUAGGGCGCAAGCGUUGUCCGGAAUUAUUGGGCGUAAAGAGCUCGUAGGCGGUCUGUUGCGUCCGCUGUGAAAACUCGGGGCUUAACCCCGAGCCUGCAGUGGAUACGGGCAGACUAGAGGUAGGUAGGGGAGAAUGGAAUUCCCGGUGUAGCGGUGAAAUGCGCAGAUAUCGGGAGGAACACCGGUGGCGAAGGCGGUUCUCUGGGCCUUACCUGACGCUGAGGAGCGAAAGUGUGGGGAGCGAACGGG